GUAGUUAGCCGGGGCUUUCUUACAGGGUACCGUCACUUCUUCGUCCCCUGCGACAGAGGUUUACAAUCCGAAAACCUUCUUCCCUCACGCGGCGUUGCUGGGUCAGGCUUGCGCCCAUUGCCCAAUAUUCCCCACUGCUGCCUCCCGUAGGAGUCUGGACCGUGUCUCAGUUCCAGUGUGGCCGAUCAGCCUCUCAGCUCGGCUACCCAUCGUCGGCUUGGUGGGCUGUUAUCUCACCAACUACCUAAUGGGACGCGAACCCCUCUAAAAGCGAUAAAUCUUUGACCUCUUCCCGAUGCCGGGUUGUGGUCUUAUGCGGUAUUAGCAGUUGUUUCCACCUGUUAUUCCCCACUCUUAGGCAGGUUGUUCACGCGUUACUCACCCGUGCGCCACUAGAAUUAUCAAUUCCAUCCGAAAACUUCCUUAAUAAUCCCCGUUCGACUUGCAUGUGUUAGGCACGCCGCCAGCGUUCGUCCUGAGCCACGAUCGAAACCUACUACGUACGUAGACGGGCGGUCGUCGACGGACGGACGACUAG
rnacentral:rRNA from 1 species